rnacentral:rRNA from 1 species
AGUAUUUUGACUAUACAAAGGUAUUGAAAUAAGACUUUAAUUGAGUGCUAAGAGAAUGGAAUUUCAUAAAAUUUCUUUUUUAAUUUUAAAAAUUGAAAUUAAUUUUAUAUGUGAAGAAACAAUAAUAAAAAUUAAGGACAAGAAGACCCUAAGAAUUUUAAAGAUUUCAAUAAAAUUUUGUAUUUUAUUGAAAUCUUUUAAUUGGGGCGAUUAUUAAAUAUUAAAAACUUUAAUUUUUUUAAAAAAGAACCAAUAAUAUUGGUUAUUUGAAAAAAUACUCUAGGGAUAACAGCGUAAUAAUUUUUGAUAGUUCUUAUAGACAAAAUAGUUUGCGACCUCGAUGUUGGAUUAGGAUUCUUUUUUAAUGAAGAAGUUAAAAAAAGAAGUUUGUUCAACUUUUAAAAUCCUA